rnacentral:rRNA from 1 species
AUUGAACGCUGGCGGCAGGCCUAACACAUGCAAGUCGAGCGGGGUUUUCGGACCUAGCGGCGGACGGGUGAGUAAUGCGUAGGAAGCUACCCGAUAGAGGGGGAUACCAGUUGGAAACGACUGUUAAUACCGCAUAAUGUCUACGGACCAAAGUGUGGGACCUUCGGGCCACAUGCUAUCGGAUGCGCCUACGUGGGAUUAGCUAGUUGGUGGGGUAAUGGCUCACCAAGGCGACGAUCCCUAGCUGGUUUGAGAGGGUGAUCAGCCACACUGGAACUGAGACACGGUCCAGACUCCUACGGGAGGCAGCAGUGGGGAAUAUCGGACAAUGGGCGCAAGCCUGAUCCAGCCAUGCCGCGUGUGUGAAGAAGGCCUUCGGGUUGUAAAGCACUUUCAGUAGGGAGGAAGGGUGUUGUGUUAAUAGCACAGCAUUUUGACGUUACCUACAGAAGGAGCACCGGCUAACUCUGUGCCAGCCGCCGCGGUAAAAC